rnacentral:rRNA from 1 species
GGACUACUCGGGUUUCUAAUCCCGUUCGCUCCCCAUGCUGUCGUGUCUCAGCGUCAGUAAUGCGCCAGGAUGCCGCCUUCGCCUCUGGUGUUCUUCCGGAUAUCUACGCAUUUCACCACUACACCCGGAAUUCCGCAUCCCUCUCGCAUACCCUAGACGACCAGUAUCGCACAGCCUCCGCGCGUUGAGCGCACGGCUUUCAUGCACGACUUAAUCAUCCGCCUGCACACCCUUUAAGCCCAGUAAAUCCGGAUAACGCUCGCCUCCUACGUUUUACCGCGGCUGCUGGCAC